rnacentral:rRNA from 1 species
GGCUGCUGGCAGGGAGUUAGCCGGUGCCUCUUCUGCGAGUAACGUCAAUCAGCAAGGUUAUUAACCUUACUGCCUUCCUCCUCGCUGAAAGUGCUUUACAACCCGAAGGCCUUCUUCACACACGCGGCAUGGCUGCAUACAGUUGCGCCCAUUGUGCAAUAUUCCCCACUGCUGCCUCCCGUAGGAG